AGAACUUUGAAAAGAGAGUUAAACAGUACGUGAAAUUGUUGAAAGGGAAACGAUUGAAGUCAGUCAUACCAACGGGAAAUCAACCUCUUGAGUUUGGUCUUGUGGGUUCCAAAAAGUU
rnacentral:rRNA from 1 species